UAAUCUAUGGUAAUCUAUAACUUUCAUGA
rnacentral:sRNA from 1 species